GGGUACUGGAGAGGCCGAUUGAAUUUCGGCGUCGAGAGCCGAUAUCUUGGGAUCGUCGACAGGCAAGAUGUAAAGACAUGCCUCUGAUUGAGCACGGGACGUCUGAGAGUGGAUAUAUAAAGCGGUGGUAAAAGCGUUGACCACCACAGGACUCUGGCCGUCUUCGUCGCAUCUCCUUUCUUUGCAUCCAUCCUAGAGCUUUCUAGUUGAAGACAUGGACUGCUUGCUUGGGAAAUACGUCUUCGUGGUGGUUGCGGCCGCAUUCGCUGCGCUGAUUAUGGCCCCAAAUGAAGCUGGGGCAUUUCCACUCAGUGUAUAUGAAACUAUUGAAAAGGCCAAGGGACGAAUAGAAGACAACGUCGAGUGACGAAGCAUCAGUCUUCCUGACACAGUGCGGCUGGCUUGCGUUCCAUUCAGGACACCUGCUUCAUAACUGAAUAAAAUGAAUGAAG